UACGUUGGGGGCAAGCGUUGUCCGGAAUCAUUGGGCGUAAAGAGCGUGUAGGCGGUCCGGUAAGUCGGCUGUGAAAGUCCAGGGCUCAACCCUGGGAUGCCGGUCGAUACUGCCGGACUAGAGUUCGGAAGAGGCGAGUGGAAUUCCCGGUGUAGCGGUGAAAUGCGCAGAUAUCGGGAGGAACACCUAUGGCGAAGGCAGCUCGCUGGGACGUUACUGACGCUGAGACGCGAAAGCGUGGGGAGCAAACAGG
rnacentral:rRNA from 1 species